rfam:Providencia rettgeri DSM 1131 genomic scaffold Scfld0, whole genome shotgun sequence.
UUGCUAAGAUGUUUAAAAAACGAAAGUUAACGUUUUAUAGGAUUUCUUAUUUGAUGGCGUAACAGUGCAGCAAUGGCGUAAGACAUUUAGCAACAUCAAAUAAAUUAGCGAGCAACGAAUUUUGGCUUAUUGGGUUAGGAACUUCCGUUUUCUUUAAUAACUUACGGCAUCCUGAUUAAGAACGCUGAAUUUUUAAUCUAAAAAUCAGGUUCACCGAAUACUGCGCGUCUCUAUACGAACGACUGCCGCGAGGCAGACGGUUUUGUAAAAAUCACGAGGCCAUCGGUUUACAGUAGCUCUUUCUUUCGCUGCUCUUUAUUUAA